AGGCGCGUAGCUCAGUGGGAGAGCGCUACCUUGACACGGUAGAGGUCGGCGGUUCGAAACCGCCCGUGCCUA
rnacentral:tRNA from 1 species